rnacentral:pre_miRNA from 1 species
ACUCUGACGUUUCUUUUUGGCGCGUUUAGAACCACUGAGUUACACGGUUCUACUAUUUAACUCAGUGGUUCUAAACGUGCCAAAAAGAAACGCCAGAGU